AUUGAACGCUGGCGGCAUGCCUUACACAUGCAAGUCGAACGGCAGCACGGGUGCUUGCACCUGGUGGCGAGUGGCGAACGGGUGAGUAAUACAUCGGAACGUACCUUAUCGUGGGGGAUAACGCAGCGAAAGCUGUGCUAAUACCGCAUACGCCCUGAGGGGGAAAGCGGGGGAUCGCAAGACCUCGCGCGAUUAGAGCGGCCGAUGCCUGAUUAGCUUGUUGGUGGGGUAAAAGCCCACCAAGGCGACGAUCAGGAGCUGGUCUGAGAGGACGAUCGGCCACACUGGGACUGAGACACGGCCCAGACUCCUACGGGAGGCAGCAGUGGGGAAUUUUGGACAAUGGGGGCAACCCUGAUCCAGCAAGGCCGCGUGAGUGAAGAAGGCCUUCGGGUUGUAAAGCUCUUUUGUCAGGGAAGAAACACCGGCUCUAACACAGUCCGGGAAUGACGGUACCUGAAGAAUAAGCACCGGCUAACUACGUGCCAGCCGCCGCCGUAA
rnacentral:rRNA from 1 species